AGGUUGACUCGCCCAGGUGCACGAACGUAAAACUCAGGAGCCGUUCCAAAUUUGGAUAGAAACAUCUCCUUCAGCUUCUGCAAUCUGAAAGCAGAUAUUUUUACAGUGGUGUUGGUACCAAGAGACUAAGAACAAACAGAGCAGUCAUGGGGGUAUAUUUAUGCUUUGGCCGUGAUGUUGCAACACGCAUGCUGCAUUUUAAGCACCUACAUCGGAGAUGAUUGCCAAAAGUGUUAAGCAAAGGCAUCCCUCACAACCUCACACAUCCAAAUCUGGCAAUGCUGGACUCCUCCUUUCCAUGUAAUGUACACUGAAACACUGCAAUCGUACACAAGGAACAGAAGUCGGUUGGUUGUUUUUUAAAGAUGCUUUUGCAGUGCUAAAACAGGUAAAAGGAUCGUUUGAACUGUUUGUGCAUUCUACUUGCACAUGCUGAGUGCAACUCCAGGAGGAAAGAGCAUGUGUUGCCACGUGCCACAGCCGCACCAACGCACAGCCAGGCCUCUGCUGUUCCACCUUUUUUUUAUAGACAAAAGGAUAAGAGGAUAAUCAGUAUUCCCAAAAUUCUGGACAAAAAAAAAAGGAGGAAGGAUGAAUGAAUGAUUUCCCUUCCUGCCACAGGGGCACUGUGCGAGAGGCAGCUGGGACGUGUGGGCUGCAGGGAGCUGUGUCUGGGGGAGAUGGGGCCUGAGGGGUCGGUGACCAGCGAGUUGCUCAGCGGGACAAUGGGCCGCUCGCCUCUGCCGGCCCGGGCCCGCUCGCUGCCGGGGAAAUCCAGGUGUCCCCAGGCCGAUGUGGCUGCGGCGACGGUGCUCCCGGGGCCGCGCCAAAUGGAAGUGUCACAUGUAUUGAGACGAAUAGAAAUAUCGCAACUCCAAAGCCUCUCACCCCUCAGCCAGGGGCCGCGGGGACAGCCCGUCCCACCUGUGCUCCCACCUCCCGUCUGCCGGCACACCGCCCGCUCCUGCCCUAACGGCGGCGCCUCCCGCGUCCCGGCUGCCGCCUCGGCCUCCCGGUGCGGGGCCAAGGGGAGCGACCCACCCACCUG